AUAUAUAGUCCGAAACCCGACCCAACUUUGCGACCCACGUUUUUGGACUCUUUUCCCACCCACCAAUCAUUUCAAAUGGACGCCUCAUCGAUCCUGCACGCCCAAAAGCCCUUCACCGAGACCCAGGUCAUCAUCUGGGUACUGGAAGUCAUGACUUUGAUGGCCGUUGUUGUCUCUGUCAGCUUGUGGAUCGCCUUCCGACCUGCCGUUCUGGAGCAUCAGAAGAGAAGAGAUUAAGACUUAUCUAAAAAUGUCUUGUGAUACGCAUUGGAGGAUAAUGAAUCAUGAUUUAUUAUGA
rnacentral:misc_RNA from 1 species